GACGAACGCUGGCGGCGUGCCUAAUACAUGCAAGUCGAGCGGACCUCUUCGGAGGUCAGCGGCGGACGGGUGAGUAACACGUGGGCAACCUGCCUGUAAGACUGGGAUAACACCGGGAAACCGGUGCUAAUACCGGAUAAUCCUUUUCCUCACAUGAGGGGAAGCUGAAAGACGGCAUCUCGCUGUCACUUGCAGAUGGGCCCGCGGCGCAUUAGCUAGUUGGUGGGGUAACGGCCCACCAAGGCGACGAUGCGUAGCCGACCUGAGAGGGUGAUCGGCCACACUGGGACUGAGACACGGCCCAGACUCCUACGGGAGGCAGCAGUAGGGAAUCUUCCGCAAUGGACGAAAGUCUGACGGAGCAACGCCGCGUGAGCGAAGAAGGCCUUCGGGUCGUAAAGCUCUGUUGUCAGGGAAGAACACGUACCGGAGUAACUGCCGGUACCUUGACGGUACCUGACCAGAAAGCCACGGCUAACUACGUGCCAGCCGCCGCAGUAAAAC
rnacentral:rRNA from 1 species